CCUGAUCCAGCAAUGCCGCGUGUGUGAAGAAGGCCUUCGGGUUGUAAAGCACUUUUAUCAGGAGCGAAAUACUGCCGGCUAAUACCCGGCGGGGCUGACGGUACCUGAGGAAUAAGCACCGGCUAACUUCGUGCCAGCAGCCGCGGUAAUACGAAGGGUGCAAGCGUUAAUCGGAAUUACUGGGCGUAAAGCGUGCGUAGGCGGUUCUUUAAGUCUGCUGUGAAAUCCCCGGGCUCAACCUGGGAAUGGCAGUGGAUACUGGAGAGCUAGAGUGUGAUAGAGGAUGGUGGAAUUCCCGGUGUAGCGGUGAAAUGCGUAGAGAUCGGGAGGAACAUCAGUGGCGAAGGCGGCCAUCUGGAUCAACACUGACGCUGAGGCACGAAAGCGUGGGGAGCAAACAGGAUUAGAUACCCUGGUAGUCCACGCCCUAAACGAUGCGAACUGGAUGUUGGUCUCAACUCGGAGAUCAGUGUCGAAGCUAACGCGUUAAGUUCGCCGCCUGGGGAGUACGGUCGCAAGACUGAAACUCAAAGGAAUUGACGGGGGCCCGCACAAGCGGUGGAGUAUGUGGUUUAAUUCGAUGCAACGCGAAGAACCUUACCUGGCCUUGACAUGUCUGGAAUCCUGC
rnacentral:rRNA from 1 species